rnacentral:rRNA from 1 species
UACGUAGGGUGCAAGCGUUAAUCGGAAUUACUGGGCGUAAAGCGCGCGCAGGCGGCUAUCCAAGUCAGUGGUGAAAGCCCGGAGCUCAACUCCGGAACUGCCAUUGAAACUGUUUAGCUUGAGGACGAGAGAGGUGAGUGGAAUUCCUGGUGUAGCGGUGAAAUGCGCAGAUAUCAGGAAGAACACCCGUGGCGAAGGCGGCUCUCUGGGACGGUACUGACGCUGAGACGCGAAAGCGUGGGGAGCGAACAGG